UCUGAAAGAGAUGGUGUCAUCGCUGGGAU
rnacentral:piRNA from 1 species